rnacentral:rRNA from 1 species
UACGUAGGGACCAAGCGUUGUUCGGAUUUACUGGGCGUAAAGGGCGCGUAGGCGGCGUGUUAAGUCAGCUGUGAAAUCUCCAAGCUUAACUUGGAACGGUCAGCUGAUACUGAUGUGCUAGAGUGCAGAAAGGGCAAUCGGAAUUCUUGGUGUAGCGGUGAAAUGCGUAGAUAUCAAGAGGAACACCUGAGGCGAAGGCGGGUUGCUAGGCUGACACUGACGCUGAGGCGCGAAAGCUAGGGGAGCAAACGGG